rnacentral:rRNA from 1 species
UACGUAGGGUGCGAGCGUUGUCCGGAAUUAUUGGGCGUAAAGAGCUCGUAGGCGGUUUGUUGCGUCUAUCGUGAAAACCUGCAGCUUAACUGUGGGCUUGCGGUGGAUACGGGCAGACUUGAGUUCGGUAGGGGAGACUGGAAUUCCUGGUGUAGCGGUGAAAUGCGCAGAUAUCAGGAGGAACACCGAUGGCGAAGGCAGGUCUCUGGGCCAUAACUGACGCUGAGAAGCGAAAGCAUGGGGAGCGAACAGG